CGGCCGUAGCGCAGCCCGCGCCCGGCGGCGGCGGCGGCGGAGCGAGCGCGCACACGUGACGCGGCGCUCGGUGCUUCUACACUGCCGCGCAGACACACGCACGCACACACUCACACACACGCACACCCGGCGCUGCCCUCGGCUCCUCCGGCCGCGUUCGCCGCCUCCCGCUCCCGUCCGCACGCGUCCCCCGGCCGCCGCCAGGGCGAAGCGCGCUCCGCGGCGGCAGCACCGGCACCGGCGGCGGCGACCGCGCGAAGAGGCGGCGAGAGUUCGCGUGCACCGGCUGCUGCGUGCCCGCCCGGCGAGCGGUGCGCCCGGAGGAUGGCCGGCUGCGGGCUGUCGGAAGACGCGUUCUUCUCCUCCUUCUUUUACAACUACACCGCCUCCUGGGAGACCUCCUACAACCAGGAACAGAACUUCUGCAUGAAGAGGUGCCAGCAGGACCGGGAUGAUUGCUUUGCACGUGUCUGCCCUGCAACAGCAGUUAUUUGGAUCAAUUAGUGAAAACAAAUGCGCAAAUAAUUUCCGCAUUGUUAUCUGGAGAUACAACUGCUAAGUCACUCAGUGAACUGCACGUCGGUGUUUUGGUGCUAAUUCCUCUGUUGUAGUAUUCCAGGCUUCUGAGAUUUCUAUAAUCUUAAAAUAUAAGGCGUAGAAAAAGUAAUCUGUUAAUUAUCAGAGAAGGAAAAAAUAGAAAGUGAGUGAAAGCAGGCGAGAGCUGGUAUCUAUCUUUCCAGCUGCUUCUGCUUAUUUGGAGCAUUUGUGCCUUCAUCUGCCUUGUGUUAUUUAGUCUAAAGCAGAAGUAUUUGCUGUGCAUGCAUGUGAGAUUUCAACUACCACACUUUGGGUUUGUAAUUAAGGAAUUAAUUAAAAUACUAUACAGUUUACUGCACAGUCUAUCAAGAGAAGGGCAGUUUACAAGAUUUUCCACGUGUGUGCUAUAAAUUCAGUGCUACAGAUAUACAGAAUCAUAUUUACACUGACAUUAGAAGUUCUACUCCUCUUGCAGAGGAGUAUCAUGAAAAAUUACUGCGAAGGGCUGGUUGUAAAAUAAUUGUCUCAGCAGAAAUCUAACCAGUAAGAAUGAAAAUCUUAAUACUGAAAGACCAACAUGGAACCUGAAGUGAGAGUAAGAAAGAGUAAAAAGAGAGAUGUAGAAACAAGAAAAAAAGAACAGCACCUUCUUUUCCUUCAUUCCUUUUCUUCCCCACCUCCCCCCUGAAUUUCUGAAUUUAUGUCAGUUUUCUGAUGCUACUGAGGAACUUCUGUCAGCCUUCUCUUGAUGCCUGUUCCAUAGCAGUGUUUCAGAAUCGGAUGUACAAGUCUAAAAAUUGUAUUAUUACUGGAAGCAGAGCCUAAUUUUCAGGCAAUCUGAUUUUGGGUUAUAUGAUGCGAUUUCAUUAACUGUUUAACUGAUUUAACUGUUGCAAUUUCAUUGUCUGCAGAAUUGAGAUAGACUUGAACCAAAGCCACUAAAUAGGAUGCACUCUUUUACAGGUUCUAAGCUGAACCUCAAUUCAUUUUCAGUGAAACUAUGGUUUUCCUACUUUCAUGUGUUGCCAGACAAGUAAAGGAAAAACUCUUGAAGUCAUGCUGCUCAUUAGAAGUGCCUCAUAAUGCUUAAGUUUUGGAAGACAGUGUACAUACAAAUACUGGCAUGAAGCUCUUUACUUCCCAUCUUCCAAAUGAUAAAAAUAAUAAAGAUAGGGGAAAGAUGGUAUGUAUAAAAAAA
rnacentral:lncRNA from 1 species